rnacentral:rRNA from 1 species
CCUACGGGUGGCAGCAGUGAGGAAUAUUGGUCAAUGGGCGCGAGCCUGAACCAGCCAAGUAGCGUGAAGGAUGACUGCCCUACGGUUUGUAAACUUCUUUUAUAAAGGAAUAAAGUGAGGCACGUGUGCCUUUUUGUAUGUACUUUAUGAAUAAGGAUCGGCUAACUCCGUGCCAGCAGCCGCGGUAAUACGGAGGAUCCGAGCGUUGUCCGGAUUUAUUGGGUUUAAAGGGAGCGUAGAUGGGUUGUUAAGUCAGUUGUGAAAGUUUGCGGCUCAACCGUAAUAUUGCAAUUGAUACUGGCAGACUUGAGUACAGUAGAGGUAGGCGGAAUUCGUGGUGUAGCGGUGAAAUGCGUAGAUAUCACGAAGAACACCAGUGGCGAAGGCAGCUUACUAGACUGCCACUGACGUUGAGGCUCGAAAGUGUGGGUAUCAAACAGGAUUAGAUACCCGGGUAGUC